UAAUAAAGAGAACUCCCUUCUCAGAGGUUUGGGUGGGCUUCACUCUACAAAAUCCCAUGUCCUCUGGAUGAGCAUAACAGGACCACGAUGCCUGGGGAGGAGGGGUCCAGCUCACAUGUAGGGAUGGUGAUGAAACUCUCACUGGGUCAGAGCAAUGGAAGAUCAUUGUCAAGUAGGGGGACCAGAAAAUGCCUCACCAAGAUGAUGACAUUUUCGUAAAGCACCGCAGGAGGUGAGGGAGUGACCCAUGCUGCUAAGUGAGGGAGAGAGAGAGUAUGAUCAAGGGAGGAGCACAGAGAGAGGAGGACAGAGGAUCCAAAGCAGGCUCUGCGCUGACAGCAGUGAGCCCAAUGUGGAAGACAGAGGCAAACAAUAAAACAGACUUUUGACUAUGGAGAACAAACUGAGGGUUGCUGGAGGGGAAGUGAGCAAGGGGAUGGGUUAAAUGGGUGGUGUGUAUUAAGGGGGGCACUUGUUAUGAGGAGCACUGGGG